rnacentral:misc_RNA from 1 species
GAAAGUUAUCUUUGCAAAUGCAACUCUGCUUUUUUGGCCACCAGAUAAAGUGUACAUGGGCUGAAGAGCAAGAUUUCCGGUUAUACCAAAUGAACCUAGAUGACCACGUAAUUUUUGUUCAGGCACUCCUGGAAAGCAACGCAUCAUGUAUAAGAGGGGAUUUGAGGACAGAUCCAGCCCAUCAACAUGAUGCUGACUAAAUACAGCAAUACGGACCUUAGCAGAGCGGAAAACAGUCCCUGAGGUUGGUUGAAGCUCCCCAGAAAUAAGCUUAAGUAUUGUUGACUUUCCAAUACCAUUAGGACCAACCACUGGAAAAUACAUAAGGUGAGACAAGGUCCAUGAUAUGUAAAACAGUAAAAAUGAUUAAAAAACAAUUAUAAAAAUACACAUGCCAAAACCACAUACUACCUAACUCACAAAUAAAGAGAUCUAAUUUUACUUCCCA